rnacentral:tRNA from 1 species
GCCGGCGUAGCUCAGCUGGUAGAGCAGCUGAUUUGUAAUCAGAAGGUCCCCGGUUCGAGUCCGGGCGCUGGCACCG